UGCCAGACUCCUACGGGAGGCAGCAGUGGGGAAUAUUGGGCAAUGGGCGCAAGCCUGACCCAGCAACGCCGCGUGAAGGAAGAAGGCUUUCGGGUUGUAAACUUCUUUUAAGAGGGAAGAGAAGAAGACGGUACCUCUUGAAUAAGCCACGGCUAACUACGUGCCAGCAGCCGCGGUAAUACGUAGGGGGCAAGCGUUAUCCGGAUUUACUGGGUGUAAAGGGAGCGUAGACGGCAUGGCAAGUCAGAUGUGAAAGCCCGGGGCUCAACCCCGGGACUGCAUUUGAAACUGUCAGGCUGGAGUGCAGGAGAGGUAAGUGGAAUUCCUAGUGUAGCGGUGAAAUGCGUAGAUAUUAGGAGGAACACCGGCGGCGAAGGCGGCCUGCUGGACCGUAACUGACGUUGAGGCUCGAAAGCGUGGGGAGCAAACAGGAUUAGAUACCCGUGUAGG
rnacentral:rRNA from 1 species